GGCCGGUUAGCACAAUUGGUAGUGUGUCUGACUACGAAGAUCCAUUGGAUCGAGGAACAUCAGGAGGUUGCGGGUUCGAGCCCCGUGCUGGUCA